CACCACAGAGUUGGGGAGAUAACUAGGUUAAGUCCAGCCCUAACACUGAUCCAGCUGCUCGGCUUCUCCGUGCUUCCCUUUCCUUACCUGCCUCCACACCAGAGACAUGAGAGAUAUUUUCAACUUAGCUUAGUGGGUGGCAUGUAUUUCAGAGGUCCAUGAGCAGUGGUGAUUAUUACUAUGUUAUUAUUAUCUGCCUACCAGGGGGGCUAUAACAAAAGGUGCACACUUAGCUGGGAACCUGCUUAAAAGUAACUACAAGAAUGGAAAUUCCAGUUACCUUUCCUAAGCUCUUUCUCUCAAGGAAGCAACAUGCUACAAAGGUGUCCAUUUUGACAGAAUGGGAAACCACUCUGAAACGCAUACUCUUCUGACCACUUUAUCUCCCCAACUGAGCAUAUUUUCUUUGUUUUCCAGAAUCUUUGCUGUGUCUGAGCGAUAGCAUCAAAGAAGGCGAAUUGGGCAAGAAUGACUCAAUUAUUUCGCAUUCUGAACAAUGCUGACUUGGUGACUGGCGUCCUGCAAGGGCUGCGUUCAAACGCCUCGUUCCAGGCUUCCCAAGGAGAACUAGAGAGGGCCCUCCAGGUGUGAGCCUGUGGAAACCUGCCCUGGCAGCUCCUCUCCCACAUUGUGACUCUGAGUUCUCCAGGGAACAGCUGGAGGCCCAGGAGGAUUACAGAGGAGACUGAGCAGAUUCCCAUAAACACUGUCUGAUAUGUGAUUGCGGAGCACACAGAAAUAUAAUCCUGUAAGAAACUGGAAUUGGGGGCUUCCCCGGUGGCACAGUGGUUAAGAAUCUGCCUGCCAAUGCAGGGGACACGGGUUCGAGCCCUGGUCGGGGAAGAUCCCACAUGCUGUGGAGCAACUAAGCCCGUGUGCCACAACUACUGAGCCUGUGGUCUAGAGCCUGUGAGCCACAACUACUGAGACUGCAUGCCACAACUACUGAAGCCCGCGUGCCUAGAGCCCGUGCUCCACAACAAGAGAAGCCACCACAAUGAGAAGCCCGCGCACUGCAACGAAGCGUAGCCCCCGCUCACCACAACUAGAGAAAGCCCGCGUGCAGCAACGAAGACCCAACACAGCCAAAUAAAAUAAAAUAAAAUAAAAUAAAAUAAAUGAAUAAAUUAGAAACUGGAAUCAGGAUUGAGUUAUGAAGGAUUCUGUGUCUUUCUGGAACUCUCAUAUGAAUCAGGAUGGUGACUCCUCAAAGACGAAGGCCCCUUACCAAGUGCCUGGAAGUUCAAGAAUGGGUUAGGCCAGGAGGUCAUGGUCAAUGUUAAGGCAACUAACAGACUUUUUCCCCAGGUUCCGGGAUAUCGUCCAGAUGGAAGUGUGGUGAUGUGCAAAGAGCUCUGGCUAACUCACACAUCUGCCUCAGAUCCCUCUGCUGGGCCUAAAGUAGGAGAAAUCCGUUAUUUCUCGGUGCUUUUUAAUCACAUUCCUCUGGGAAGAGGUGAACUUUCCUGUCCUCUCCUUAUUGUAAAUUACCUACUCUUUGACAGCUCUAAAAUAACUCACGGCUACCCCGUCACAAACAUUUUACCUUUUCUUCAUUUAUCACUCUUCACACUUGCAUUUUUUAAAAACUGCUUGAUAUGUUCAUUGUAGGAAAAAACAUAUACAGACAAGCAAAAGUCAUUCCCACAAUCAUUCUACUCAGAGGUAAAUUACUGUUAACAUUUUACACUUUUCCCUACUCCUAUCUUUUACUUCAGUGCCAUCCUGUGGUCUGCUUCUUUCCCCUAGAAUAUACUGGGAACUUCUUUCCCCUAGAAUAUACUGGGAACUUCUUUCUUUCUGUAUCAAUAAAUCUAUUUCUUCACCAGAAUCUUUACCUGUUGGGCUGUAUUUCAUAUAUUUGUCUUUCUUAAAAAAAUCAGGUGGAAUGAUGUGGACCCACGAGUUGUAGUCAUAAUGCUUCCUUGAGUUAAAGGCCGAACGUUCCAGAACCAGGCCAAGGGGUGCUUUUAAGACAGAAAAAAGUCUUUCAAAGGCUCUGUGUUUGCAGCAACUUUGACGGAAAGUUAGUAGUCUUUCCCCACAUCUCCUACUAGGACUCUCCACACGCGGCGAAUUCUCACCUCCAAGCGUCACAGACAGACAAUACUUAGGUACCUCUGAGUGGCCACUUACAGUCUUAGUGCAUAGCAAAGGAGAUCUGGAAAUAGGAGGAAGAAGAGAGGGGAAGAGGAGAGGGAGAACGAGAAAGGAAAAAAAAGCAAGAGGUAGUCCGAUGAAUAAGAGGGGUAA